rnacentral:rRNA from 1 species
UACGUGGGAGGCAAGCGUUGUCCGGAAUUACUGGGCGUAAAGCGCGUGUAGGUGGUGGGACAAGUCUGCUGUGAAAGCGCCUGGCUUAACCGGGCGAGGUCGGCGGAAACUAUUCGACUCGAGGACGGUAGAGGGGGGUGGAAUUCCCGGUGUAGUGGUGAAAUGCGUAGAGAUCGGGAGGAACACCUGUGGCGAAGGCGGCUCACUGGUCCGGUACUGACGCUGAGGUGCGAAAGCGUGGGGAGCAAACAGG